rnacentral:rRNA from 1 species
UACGGAAGGGGCGAGCGUUGUUCGGAAUCAUUGGGCGUAAAGGGCGCGUAGGUGGCUCUGUAUGUCUACCGUGAAAGCGUACGGCUCAACCGUAUCUUGUCGGUAGAAACUGCAGGACUUGAGGCUGGGAGGGGCUGGUGGAAUUCCCUGUGUAGCGGUGAAAUGCGUAGAUAUUGGGAGGAACACCAGUGGCGAAGGCGGCUCACUGGACCGGAACUGACGCUGAGGCGCGAAAGCGUGGGGAGCAAACGGG